rnacentral:sRNA from 1 species
UUAAAAAAAAUAAAAAUAAUACGUUUAUAUAAUUUUACAAAAAUUAUAAAACGUUAAAUUUUUAAUUAAAUUAAAAAAAAGUUUUUUUAUCAUAAAUAAAUUAAUUUCCUAAAAUAUAUUAUCGCCUCUGGAAAAUUUAGGAUGGAAAAAUCGAAAAUCCAAAUAAUAAAAAAAUGGCCCCAAUUAUAAAGUGUAAAAAACGUUUAAAUAUUUUUUAAAUUUAUUAAUUUUUAUAGAAAAUUUAUUAAAAAUACGACGCAAUCGCCAUUUUAUUAAUUAAUAUAAUUAAACAAAAUUCAAAAUUCCAAUGGACGGAAUAAAUAUAAUAAAUUUUUAAAUAAUUACGAAACGCAAUAACCAAAAAACCAAUUUUUAAAAUACCAAAUCCAAAAGUGUUUUUCGAAAUCGAAACCGACGUAUCCAAUUACGCAAUUAAAGAAUAAUUAAACCAACGAAAUAAAAAAAAAGUUGCAUUUUUGCGUUUUUUUUUAUAAAAAUUAUAUAAAUUAAAAUUUAAUUAUUAAAUUUACGAUAAAAUAUCAAUAACCAUUAUUCGAAUAUUUGAAAAAUAAAAACUAUAAUUAUCCGGAAUUAAAUAUAAAAUAUUAAUUUAUACGAAUUACAAAAAUUUAACCCAUUUUAUUACCAGCAAAAUAUUAAAUAAACGGUAAUUUAAAUAAUUAAAAUUUCUAUUAAAAUUCCAUUUUAAAAUUAUUUA